GUGCUCACUUCAGCAGCACAUAUACUAAAAUUGGAACGAUUUAGAGAAGAUUAGCAUGGCCCCUGUGUAAAAAUGACACGCAAAUUCAUGGAGCAUUCCAUAUUUAA